CACGUAGGGCGCAAGCGUUGUCCGGAAUUAUUGGGCGUAAAGAGCUCGUAGGUGGUUUGUUACGUCCGCUGUGAAAUCCUAGGGCUUAACCCUGGGCUUGCAGUGGAUACGGGCAGACUAGAGGUAGGUAGGGGAGAAUGGAAUUCCUGGUGUAGCGGUGAAAUGCGCAGAUAUCAGGAAGAACACCCGUGGCGAAGGCGGCUCUCUGGGACGGUACUGACGCUGAGACGCGAAAGCGUGGGGAGCGAACAGG
rnacentral:rRNA from 1 species